GAUGAACGCUGGCGGCGUGCCUAAUACAUGCAAGUCGAGCGAACGGACGAGAAGCUUGCUUCUCUGAUGUUAGCGGCGGACGGGUGAGUAACACGUGGAUAACCUACCUAUAAGACUGGGAUAAUUUCGGGAAAACGGAGCUAAUACCGGAUGAUAUUUUGAACCGCAUGGUUCAAAAGUGAAAGACGGUCUUGCUGUCACUUAUAGAUGGAUCCGCGCUGCAUUAGCUAGUUGGUAAGGUAACGGCCUACCAAGGCAACGAUGCAUAGCCGAGCUGAGAGGGUGAUCGGCCACACUGGAACUGAGACACGGUCCAGACUCCUACGGGAGGCAGCAGUAGGGAAUCUUCCGCAAUGGGCGAAAGCCUGACGGAGCAACGCCGCGUGAGUGAUGAAGGUCUUCGGAUCGUAAAACUCUGUUAUUAGGGAAGAACAUAUGUGUAAGUAACUGUGCACAUCUUGACGGUACCUAAUCAGAAAGCCACGGCUAACUACGUG
rnacentral:rRNA from 1 species